CUCAAAAACGAAGUAUAUAGGGCUACGCUGGCUCCAGAUGCACAAUUCUGACGGCCGCGGUACCCUAACCGUGCAAAGGUAGCACAAUCACUUGUCUAUUAAUUGUAGACCUGUAUGAAAGGCAAAACGAGGGCCUAUCUGUCUCUUGUAGUAAGUCAAUUAAACUGAUCCCCCAGUCCAAAAGCUGGGAUACCAACAUAAGACCAGAAGACCCUGUGAAGCUUAAACUAAACUAUUAAAUCUCAUAAUAGCUCCUUUCGGUUGGGGCGACCUUGGAAAAAAAAAGAACUUCCAAACACACUGACUUUACAGUCACCCACCCAGGCCAACAAGCCUAACAACGACCCAGCACAGCUGACAACUGAACCAAGUUACUCCAGGGAUAACAGCGCUAUCUUCUUCAAGAGCCCAUAUCAAAAAGAAGGUUUACGACCUCGAUGUUGGAUCAGGACGAUCCUAAUGCGUGCAUGCCGCUAUUAAGGGUUCGUUUGUUCAACAGAGUAAC
rnacentral:rRNA from 1 species